CUUGCUUCUCUUGAGAGCGGCGGACGGGUGAGUAAUGCCUAGGAAUCUGCCUGGUAGUGGGGGAUAACGUCCGGAAACGGACGCUAAUACCGCAUACGUCCUACGGGAGAAAGCAGGGGACCUUCGGGCCUUGCGCUAUCAGAUGAGCCUAGGUCGGAUUAGCUAGUUGGUGGGGUAAUGGCUCACCAAGGCGACGAUCCGUAACUGGUCUGAGAGGAUGAUCAGUCACACUGGAACUGAGACACGGUCCAGACUCCUACGGGAGGCAGCAGUGGGGAAUAUUGGACAAUGGGCGAAAGCCUGAUCCAGCCAUGCCGCGUGUGUGAAGAAGGUCUUCGGAUUGUAAAGCACUUUAAGUUGGGAGGAAGGGCAGUAAAUUAAUACUUUGCUGUUUUGACGUUACCGACAGAAUAAGCACCGGCUAACUCUGUGCCAGCAGCCGCGGUAAUACAGAGGGUGCAAGCGUUAAUCGGAAUUACUGGGCGUAAAGCGCGCGUAGGUGGUUCGUUAAGUUGGAUGUGAAAUCCCCGGGCUCAACCUGGGAACUGCAUUCAAAACUGACGAGCUAGAGUAUGGUAGAGGGGUGGUGGAAUUUCCUGUGUAGCGGUGAAAUGCGUAGAUAUAGGAAGGAACACCAGUGGCGAA
rnacentral:rRNA from 1 species